CUCGGACCCCUCCCAUCCUCCUCCGCCCCACUCUGUGUCAGAGGCUGGGGCCCCGGGCCGGAUUUCGGGCGGCGGGUCCGGGUGGCGGGGCUGGAGGGUGUGGACCCGCGCAGCGCUCAGCAGGCCGUGUCCGGCUGGGCGCUGCAGCUGCCGCCGCCGCCGCCCAAGGCCCUCGGCAUCCCCCGGAGAGAGACCAGAGCGAUUCCGGGCCGUCCCGGCGCUCGCUCAGGUGUGUUAAGAUGAAACACUGCAGACAGGCCUUCUGAAGAUCAAGAAAAGGAAAAACAGAACAUUACAGACUCUGGAAAAAAAACUUGUGCUCCCUAGACUCAUGGCCCAUGCUGUCCAAAAGUUUGGUGCAUUUAAUACAUUUUUGAUUGUCAUUUAUAUCAACUAAUUUCUUCUUUGUUAUAAAUUUCUGUUGUUUAAUUAAAUAUAUAUAUUUCUCUUUUAUAUUUUUAUCUUUUACUAACAAUACAUUAGUCAUUGUUUACUGGUGUGCAUCUUAUGGUUUUUUAACUUUCACUUUGUGUUGAACUGGUUUUCUUUGAAAAAAGAACAUUAAUGAUA
rnacentral:lncRNA from 1 species